rnacentral:rRNA from 1 species
UACAGAGGGGGCAAGCGUUGUUCGGAAUUAUUGGGCGUAAAGAGCUCGUAGGCGGUCUGUCGCGUCGGCUGUGAAAACUCGGGGCUCAACCCCGAGCCUGCAGUCGAUACGGGCAGACUAGAGUGCUGUAGGGGAGACUGGAAUUCCUGGUGUAGCGGUGAAAUGCGCAGAUAUCAGGAGGAACACCGGUGGCGAAGGCGCCACUCUGGGCCGAAACUGACGCUGAGGAGCGAAAGCGUGGGUAGCAAACAGG